rnacentral:tRNA from 1 species
GGGAAUGUAGUUCAGUGGUAGAGUGUUUGUCUGGCAUGCACAAGGGUCUGGGGUUUGAUCCUCAGCAUUGUCA